rnacentral:rRNA from 1 species
AAGAAGCGAAACAGUGAUGUGGAGCAAAACUCAAAAAAAUAAGUCUCAGUUCGGAUUGAAGGCUGAAAUUCGCCUUCAUGAAGCCGGAAUUGCUAGUAAUGGCAGGUCAGCAUACUGCCGUGAAUACGUUCCCGGGCCUUGUACACACCGCCCGUCACACCAUGAGAGUUGGGAAUACCCGAAGCCUGUGAGCUAACUUUUAGAGGCAGCAGUCGAAGGUAGAAUCAAUGAUUGGGGUGAAGUCGUAACAAGGUACC